GCUCUCCACACAACAACGAGGGACUCCCAGGUCCCAGUCUCUUCUGGAUCGAAGCCGCCACCUCCUGGAACGAAGCCGCCGCUGUCUGGAUUCGCCGCCGCCGCCGCCGGCGACGCUUGGAUCCGACCGGCCACCACACCCCCACACCAGGAGGCAGCAGCCUCUUCUCCUGACGGCAGAGCAUGUCAUCUGGGAGUGGCACAGCUGGGUUAUGUCUUCAACUCUUCUAAUCUUCUUUACUGUUCGAUGUGUUUUGCAAGAUGCAACUUGCAAUGACAUGGGGGGACAAGAAUCAAUCAAGCACUUGAUAAAAGAGACACAACCGAAUGGGGGCAGUAUCUCUAUUCUAAUCUUUUUCUCCUUUAUUUUCUGUAUUAACUCUAUAUUACAUGACAUAUUUUUAUUUUAUUUUAUAUAUGCUCACCGUAUCCCCGAAUGACUGUAUUUGGAAAAUGCCGUAUCCCGUAUCCCUGUAUGCGUAUCCCCAACUUUCCGUCCCCGUGUCCGUGCUUUUUAGCCUAUGGGUAACAAUGAAAGAAUACUACUGCUAUAAAUUCCAUACACGACCAGGCAUAUUCAACCCAAUUUUGCAUGGCGGACGCCUUUUCCAGCAGUUUGCUGUAGAUACAUACAACAAGAUUGAAAGCUCCAGACUGGAUUACAUCUGGCAUAAUCAAAAGAAAAUAAGGGCUGACCUAUACCAAGGCCUUCUAGACAGCAUUCAAGCUGGAGAACAGAAUGGAGAUGCUGUCGGAAAACAGAGAGUACUUGCCUCGUCAUUUAUUGGAAGACCACGAGAUAAACUUCGUCGAUAUCUCGACGCUAUGGCUUUAGUUAGAAAAUAUGGUAAGCCAGACGUAUUCCUAACAAUGACCUGCAACCCCAACUGGGAGGAGAUAACACAUGAACUAGAGAAUGGACAAACAGCACAAGAUCGCCCAGACAUUGUAGUUCGUGUUUUCAGGGCGAAGCUACAAGAAAUGAAGAAGGAACUAUUUGAGAAGGGCAUUCUUGGAAAGGUUCAGGCAUAUACAUAUGUCGUAGAGUUCCAAAAGAGGGGAUUACCCCAUGCUCACUUUUUGCUCAUCAUGACUCGAAAAUACAAGUACACAUGUCCAGAGCAGUAUGACAGAAUCAUAUCCGCAGAGCUCCCUAACAAGCACAAGUACCCAGAACUAUACAAGAUGGUAAUCAAACAUAUGAUGCAUGGUCCUUGCGGUGCAUUGAACAAAUUUUGUCCAUGCUCAAAGAAUCGUCCAUCAUGCAAGAACAAUUAUCCAAGACCAUUUAACGAAACUACGAUUCAAGGCAAGGACUACCCAAUAUAUAGGAGACGCAACGAUGGCCGGACUGAAACGGUCCGAAAUUGCAAACUAGAUAACAUGUGGGUAGUUCCUUACAAUCCCUAUCUGUUAAGGAUGUUCAACUGCCACAUAAAUGUUGAGAUAUGCUCAAGCAUUAAAGCCGUGAAAUACCUCUUCAAGUACAUCUACAAGGGUCAUGACCGAGCAUCCGUAUCCGUAACAGACAAAGUAGACGAAGAAGAAAUCGACGAGAUUAAGCAGUACAGAGACGCCCACUAGGUGACACCUCCUGAAGUACUGUGGAGAAUAUAUGGCUUCGAACUAAGUAAAAUGCACCCACCAGUCUUGCAACUGCAGCUACAUCUCCCAAAUAUGCACAUGGUUUCAUAUCAUGGCAUGGAAAAAUUACAGAAUGUUAUCGACCGUGAAGACACGGAAAGAUCAAUGUUGACUGCGUACUUUGAAGCAAACAGAUGGUAUGCAAAAGCACGAGGCAUACUAUACAGAGAGUUUCCGGAACAUUAUACUUGGCAGAGUCAGGGGAAAUUUUGGCAACAGAGGAAGCGAGCCGCUGUGUUCCAGGUUGGCAGGAUCGUCUCAGCACACCCAGCUGAAGGAGAACGAUACUAUCUUCGAGUCCUCCUAAACCACGUGACAGGCGCCACCAGCUACAAAGACCUAUGAACAGUCGAUGGACAAGUAAUGCCAACCUUUCGAGAAGCUGCAGAAAAAAGAGGUCUCAUUGAGGCAGAUAUCACAUUGGAUGACUGCAUGAUAGAAGUGGAGUUGUUUCGGAUGCCAUCAUCGCUACGACGACUAUUUGCGACAAUCUUGGUUUUUUGCGAGCCCAGCGACAUACGCAGCCUCUGGAACAAACACCUUGAUGCAAUGUCAGAGGACUACAACAAAAAUUGCAAAUGCAAACACACAGUCGAACAGAUGGUUCUGAAAAAUAUAGAGACAUGUUGCACUCAAUGGGAAAAGACAUAGAAUCAUUUCCUCUUCCAAAGAUCGACGAACAACAUGAGAUGACAGACGACAUACCGAGGGAGAUCAUUGAGGAAACAUCCAUCGAGGUGGAACCCGAGGACACAUCUUUGCAUAAGAACCUAAACAAGGAGCAGAAGGAGGCCUACGACGAAAUCCUAGCAACAAUUGACGACCAAAGUGGAGGUAUAUUCUUUGUCGAUGGACCUGGAGGCAUGGGAAAAACUUUUCUUUACAGGGCUCUCUUAGCCACAAUACGCAGACAAGGCAAGAUUGCUGUAGCGACAGCCACUUCCGGUGUUGCUGCUUCAAUAAUGCCCGGAGGGAGGACCGCGCAAUCGAGGUUCAAGAUUCCACUAAAAAUAGACGAGGGGGCUGUUUGUGGAUUCACAAAACAGAGUGGGACAGCCAAACUACUGAAAGCAGCAUCACUAACAAUCUGGGAUGAAGCAUCUAUGACCAAGAGGCAGACAGUGGAGGCGCUAGACAGAAGCAUGCGGGACAUAAUGGACAGGCCAGAACUUCCAUUCGGAGGAAAAACAGUCGUAUUUGGAGGGGAUUUUAGGCAAGUGCUACCUGUUGUCCGAAAGGGAACAAGAGCCCAGAUAGUAGAUUCAUCACUACGCAAGUCUGUCCUCUGGAAUUCAAUGCGUCAACUGAAGCUCGUGCGCAACAUGAGGGCUCAAAACGACCCAUGGUUCGCAGUACCUACUACGCAUUGGAAACGGAACCGAGGAGACAAAUGAUGAUGGUGAAAUACAACUACCUACAAUUAUAUGUGUGCCAAAUAAGACGGAUGACAAUAGCCUUGAUAGACUCAUCGACAAUGUCUACAAAACGGACAAUGCUUCCCUAAAAGAUCCAAAGUACAUCACGUCAAGAGCAAUUCUAUCAACAAGGAACGACUCCAUAGACAAAAUCAACCUAAAAAUGAUUGAUCGUUUCCAGGGGGAGGAGAUGGUGUACCACAGCUUCGAUUCGGUAGAAGACGACCCACAUAACUACUAUCCACCAGAAUUCCUAAACACUCUCACCCCAAAUGGACUGCCUCCACAUAUGUUGAAGCUCAAAUUAAUUGCCCAAUCAUACUACUCAGAAACAUCGACCCUGCUAAUGGACUAUGCAACGACACGAAGUUGGUCGUACGUGGAUUUCAAAAAAAUACAAUUGACGCGAAGAUUGUGGUGGGACAACACUCUGGAAUGCGAGUUUCCUGCCCAGGAUACCAUUAUGCCCCUCUGACAAUGACAUGUUUCCGUUCAGUUUCAAGAGGAAACAGUUUCCAGUCAAACUCAGUUUUGCAAUGACAGUAAAUAAAUUACAAGGCCAGACAAUACCAAAUGCCGGCAUCUACCUGCCUGAACCGGUUUUCUCACAUGGUCAACUAUAUGUCGCACUAUCUAGAGCAACCGCGACAUCAAACAUAAAGAUACUACCAGGUACACAUGAUGAGAGCAAGCAGAAGAACAAAAAGACCAGCAUAGACGACACAUACACAAAGGGAGAGAAGAAAAAGAGAAAGAAAAAAACCAGUACAAGCGGGACAUAUACAAAAAAUAUUGUCUACAAGGAAGUCCUAACCAAAUAGGUAAUACAACCUUUCAAUUUCUUCUUCAAAAUUUCAAUUACUACUUGAAAGGAUCGUCAUUUAAAAAAAAUAAAGUGUUUAUAUUUCAAAUUACAUUCUUCAUUUUCUAACCUUAAACAUACUACUUGGAUUCUACAGAAACAUUGCAGCCAGAUGACAACUUCGCAGUUAGAAUUCAGAACUUCAUCGUCUUCAAGGAGACAAGACUCAUUUGUGUAUAUACAAACAAUUCAUGAUUUCAUUCUCAUGUACAAUGUCCUCAAGAACAAAAUCAUUCAAAGUUUUAUUAAUCAUGUGUCAACCAAACUCAUUGAUGGUUUUGCUACAACCAACACUUUACUUUCAAUUUAAUUUGUGAUUAUAUCCAACUCCCAAUGCUUAUAUAUGUGAUGUACAUAGACUGCUAACCCUGCUCAAACUGAAAUACAUCUAUUUGACAUUUAAAAACAACCAGAAAGAAUGAAUAUUCAUGCAAAAAGUACCACAAAGUAACAAAACAAAUCACAAAGUAACAAAAGGAGAACAGGAUCAGAUCAAAUUCUAUUUUUUAUGUGAUUCUAAAACGACCUAAAAGCUAACCUAGACUACUGAUAGUUAUUUCACAUAUUAAUUAUUAUCAAACAAAUAUUAAAACUAAAUCUAAUCACAUGUGCUUAAGUUGGAUCAAUAUUAAUAGGGGUAGGGGGGCUAACACUGCCAAUGCCGGUCCCAAGCCUGGAAAAAAUUGGAGGGGCCAAAAACAAAUUAACACUGCACCUUAAGAUCCCACACAAAGCACGGGCUAGAAUUUUAUAUUAUACUGUCACUCUGGAUUGUUGUAUCAAUCAGACAAAUAUGAACUUACUCUGUGAAGACGAAGCUGAUGCUUUUUUUUGGUAUACUAACAUUGGUUUAAAAUUUGUUCAAACACUACUCGGUGUUAUUCAGAGCUAGAGCAUGAAAAGAAGUUAAUGUGCUUGACACAUGCAGACGGGCCUGAAGAAACUGGUGGAAGAGAAAUGUGUACCUGCUUGAGAUGUAUCCUCUUAGAAAUUACUAUUGGAUAGUAAACAUAAACUGGAACUGCACCAAGCAAUUGAUUUUGCCACAUUGAAGAAGAUGUUCAAAACAAAUUUGGAGCGGAGAGCCUGCAGAUUUGUACCAGAGACACUUGAACAAUCAAAGAGCAAGGAGGACGAGCUCUACAGAGAUCUCCAAGGAAGCCGGUGCUAUUAUCCAUCGAGAAACCAAACCGGCAGCACCACACCCUAGCGAAGGCGAGCCCCGGCAUCGGCCGGCGGCGUCGGUGGCGCUAGAGCCCUAGACGGGUCUGAUGCAUCUGUUUUUUAAGACAAUACUGCGUCUGGUGUUGUGGAAGUGAGUAGACGAAAAAGCAACAGGAAGUGCUCGUGGGCUGAAACGGCCAGAUGGAUUCAAUUAGGCCUUUACAUUUUGUCCAGUCACUAUUCUAACAGACCAGGAAGACCAAAGUGGGCCUAGCAAAUGUAAAUAUCGCAUCGAGCAACAUUUUUUCUUCUUC